UACGGGGGGGGCAAGCGUUGUUCGGAAUUACUGGGCGUAAAGGGCUCGUAGGCGGCCAACUAAGUCCGACGUGAAAUUCCAAGGCUUAACCUUGGAACUGCGUCGGAUACUGGAUGGCUUGAAUUCGGGAGAGGGAUGCAGAAUUCCAGGUGUAGCGGUGAAAUGCGUAGAUAUCUGGAGGAAUACCGGUGGCGAAGGCGGCAUCCUGGACCGACAUUGACGCUGAGGAGCGAAAGCUAGGGGAGCAAACGGG
rnacentral:rRNA from 1 species